rnacentral:rRNA from 1 species
GACGAACGCUGGCGGCGUGCCUAAUACAUGCAAGUCGAACGCAGUGGGGACGGGUGAGUAACACGUGGGUAACCUCCCAUCAGAGGGGAUAACCCUUGGAAACAGGUGCUAAACCGAUACUGAUGGAUGGACCCGCGGGGCAUUAGCUAGUUGGUGAGGUAACGGCGCACCAAGGCCACGAUGCAUAGGCGAGCGGGGAGGGUGAUCGGGCAAAAUUGGACCGAGAAACGGGCCAGAACCCUACGGGAGGCAGCAGUAGGGAAUCAUUGGCAAUGGACGAAAGUCUGACCGAGCAACGCCGCGUGAGUGAAGAAGGGUUUCGGAUAGUAAAGCUCUGUUGUUAGAGAAGCGGUAACUAACCAGAAAGGGACGGCUAACUACGUGCCAGCAGCCGCGGUAAUUC